UAUCAUUCCCUUCACACUAAACUUCGUUCUUUGACUCAAUUGCUGUGAGAGCUGGUUGGACCUGGUCGUAUUAACACUGUGAAUGGAGCGGGAGAUAAGUCGAUCUGCAUCACAAUAUCACAUGUUGCACGGAUCAUUCAUACUUCCCUGCUCCCUAGUCAUUCACAUGUAUUGCGGUGCGCAUCGCAUAGCCUAUGAUGAUGAUUAAAAUUACCCCGAUUUUUGGCGGGCUUCUUUCAUCAGUUGGUUUUCGCGCUUUACUCGGUGUUCCCGUCCGCGCUCUGUUCCUGAAUAAGAACAACACCAGAUAUGUUCGCCCCAGAUAGAGAACUGAAAGGACGCGCACGGCGUGACCCCCUUUCGCCGUCCUGCUUUGGGCUCCGACCUAGAACUCUUUCCCUUUCUUUGUCUCAAAAAGCAUCUCAUUCAGACGAAGCCCUUUUUGUAGACUACUCGAGCACAAACAGACAAGACUUCUCACACAGGGCUUUGUACCAUAACUUUGGUGUCAAUUGUGUGAGGAGUAGGGGUGGGAGACUGUAUUCUUACAGCUGUCUCAGCAAGUGGUCCCUGCUACGGUGAGGGAAGAAGUAGUUACGAUAACUUGACCGUGAAGGGCUCGAGCGCCAUGUGACAUCCUGGCCAGAAACGUCGACUCGAUUGAGAUUUCAUCAUCUCCAUUGAGAAAGGGAGCCGGCCUAUCACCCGUGGACCACUAAAAUCACCACCUCUUGGUCCUUCCUCUCUCGUGUUCAGCGCAAGGGCCUUCCUGACUGUGUGACAGAGGGAGUCCUGAGUGACGCCGUAAAUGACUCUACGAUGCCUUACUGCCCCCACCUCUUCCCGACUGCUUCUGAUUAAGAUGUUUGUGGUGGGAUCUGAGAGCAAUGUGAACAACUACAGGUGCAACUCGUACAGAUGGACGUAACGUAUGAAAUGUGCUGAAUAUAUCCAUGUAUUUAGAUCCUAAUAUGUACACAUGGCAUUGCUGUAUUCAUGUGAUGCUUUUGGAACGUCUCUUCAUAAAAUCUCAAAUGCUGAAAUAUCCUGUCAAAAUACAUGCUUGGUGUGUUUAUUUGGCUCUUCGCUGUCUUUCAUUUAUAGAUGAAUUCUGAAGGACCUUUAUAAGAUAACACUGUAGUUGGCCACGUUAAAUUACAUCGUAUUGAUAGGCCUGGUCAUCUAAGCAGGAUGAAAAGAAUAGGCUCCGUUUUAAUGAACUACCAAUUUUGGAUUAAUAGCCUAUCAUGUGAAGAGAUAUGCAUGUAAACAAUAUAUAUAUGUUUGGUGAUAUGUCAAAUAGGCUAUAAAGGGGAUUUUGUUGUAAACUGCUGAAAAGCCAGUUCACCCAAUCCUAUCGGCCCAAUCCCAUCGGCUCCACAAGCCUCCGGGUAUAUUCACUUCUGUCAAAGAAUGCAAACGAUUUCUACAAGUCAAUUGAUUUUCCCAACAUGCACAUUUUGAUGAGUACACAACACCUGUCAGUUAUACUCAGGCAUUUCUGGUUGGUCCAUACUUUAUGUUUUGUUACAUUACGGUGUAAGCA